GACGAACGCUGGCGGCGUGCUUAACACAUGCAAGUCGAACGGAAAGGCCCUGCUUGCCGGGUACUCGAGUGGCGAACGGGUGAGUAACACGUGGGUGAUCUGCCCUGCACUUCGGGAUAAGCCUGGGAAACUGGGUCUAAUACCGGAUAGGAGCCAUUUUUAGUGUGAUGGUUGGAAAGUUUUUUCGGUGUAGGAUGAGCUCGCGGCCUAUCAGCUUGUUGGUGGGGUAAUGGCCUACCAAGGCGGCGACGGGUAGCCGGCCGGAGAGGGUGGACGGCCACAUUGGGCCUGAGGACGGGCCCAACCCCCCCCGGGGGGCACCAGGGGGUAAAAUGGCCCAAGGGCGCCAGCCCUGUUGCGGCGCCCCCGCGGGGGGAAGGCCGCCUUUGGGGUUUUAACCCCUUUUCCCUGGGGAAGAAUCUUUUUGGGAGGUUCCCUAAAAAAGAGACCCCGCCUAACUCCGUG
rnacentral:rRNA from 1 species